AUGUAUGAAGUGAAUUUGUCUCAUUUACAAAGUAUAUGUAUUGGCAGGCUUAAUAGAUUUCUAAACCGAAAGAAGAGUGACAGUGCUUCUAAAAUGAGUCUCAGUGAGAAGACAGAGGAGGGAUGUUCCCAGUGCUGGAGAUCUUCAGAUCCCAGCUGUGUGUCUGUGAAGAGUGACAGAUCCAUGGAUCCACCUGAUUAUCUCAAUGAUGAAGCAGUGACCACUGAUCCCAUGCCUGUUAUCUACACUGAGGGUGACACUACCUCUGAAAUGAGUCUCAGUGAGAAGACAGCCCUGUCAACAAUUUGAUCUCAUCAUGAGCUCCCAGGAGACUCGUGAUGUGGUCACAAUGAGCUAAAAG
ensembl:lncRNA